GGAUUAGAAACCCGGGUAGUCCAUGCCGUAAACGUUGGGCACUAGAUGUGGGGGACAUUCCACGUUUUCCGCGUCGUAGCUAACGCAUUAAGUGCCCCGCCUGGGGAGUACGGCCGCAAGGCUAAAACUCAAAGGAAUUGACGGGGGCCCGCACAAGCGGCGGAGCAUGCGGAUUAAUUCGAUGCAACGCGAAGAACCUUACCAAGGCUUGACAUGGGCCGGAUCGCCGCAGAAAUGUGGUUUCCCCUUUGGGGCCGGUUCACAGGUGGUGCAUGGUUGUCGUCAGCUCGUGUCGUGAGAUGUUGGGUUAAGUCCCGCAACGAGCGCAACCCUCGUUCCAUGUUGCCAGCACGUUGUGGUGGGGACUCAUGGGAGACUGCCGGGGUCAACUCGG
rnacentral:rRNA from 1 species